rnacentral:tRNA from 1 species
CCGACCUUAGCUCAGUUGGCAGAGCGGAGGACUGUAGUUGGAAUCAUCAGCCAAUCCUUAGGUCGCUGGUUCGAAUCCGGCAGGUCGGA